UCCGUAGUGAACCUGCGGAAGGAUCAUUACCGAGUGUAGGGUUCCUAGCGAGCCCAACCUCCCACCCGUGUUUACUGUACCUUAGUUGCUUCGGCGGGCCCGCCAUUCGUGGCCGCCGGGGGCUCUCAGCCCCGGGCCCGCGCCCGCCGGAGACACCACGAACUCUGUCUGAUCUAGUGAAGUCUGAGUUGAUUGUAUCGCAAUCAGUUAAAACUUUCAACAAUGGAUCUCUUGGUUCCGGCAUCGAUGAAGAACGCAGCGAAAUGCGAUAACUAGUGUGAAUUGCAGAAUUCCGUGAAUCAUCGAGUCUUUGAACGCACAUUGCGCCCCCUGGUAUUCCGGGGGGCAUGCCUGUCCGAGCGUCAUUGCUGCCCAUCAAGCACGGCUUGUGUGUUGGGUCGUCGUCCCCUCUCCGGGGGGGACGGGCCCCAAAGGCAGCGGCGGCACCGCGUCCGAUCCUCGAGCGUAUGGGGCUUUGUCACCCGCUCUGUAGGCCCGGCCGGCGCUUGCCGAACGCAAAUCAAUCUUUUCCAGGUUGACCUCGGAUCAGGUAGGGAUACCCGCUGAACUUAAGCAUAUCAAUAAGCGGAGG
rnacentral:rRNA from 1 species